UACAGAGGGUGCAAGCGUUGUUCGGAAUUAUUGGGCGUAAAGCGCGUGUAGGCGGCCUUGCAAGUCGGGUGUGAAAGCCCUCAGCUCAACUGAGGAAGCGCGCCCGAAACUGCAGAGCUUGAGUACCGGAGAGGAUGGCGGAAUUCCCCAAGUAGAGGUGAAAUUCGUAGAUAUGGGGAGGAACACCGGUGGCGAAGGCGGCCAUCUGGACGGAUACUGACGCUCAUGUACGAAAGCGUGGGGAGCAAACAGG
rnacentral:rRNA from 1 species